CGGGGGUCAGGCCCCCUGAGGCGGGGCGCCCAUGGGCCGGGGGCGGGCGGGCGGGCAGGCGGCCGCCGCGCCGAGACGCGCCCGGAGAAAAGUUUGGGCGGCGGAGGCAGAGCGGGCGAGGAGCGGCCGGGCGGCGGGAGCGGCGCGGGAGGGGCCGCGGGGCGGCGGGCGGGGCGCGGAGGCCGGCCGGGAGGGACGGGGCCGGGAGGGAGCGGCCACGGGGUGGGGGAGGCGCUGCCCGCGGCCCCUCCCGCCUCCUCCGGCCCGCCGGCCGGGGUCCCGGAGCUCAGGGGCUCGCGGAGGGCGAGGUCCGGUCCCGAGGGAGGGUGGCCCCCAGCGCCCCCAGCGCCCCCAGCGCCCCCGAGCCGCGGCGGCGGUCUCGGGCCGAGAGGGCGGGGUCGCGGGGUGGGCGUGGGAGGGGGCGGUACCGAAGUUCCGUCCCGGCGGGGCCGCUGAGGAGAGCAAGGUUCGGACAGAGAACCCACAAUCCCAGAGUACCCAUUCCGGAUCAGUCUGCAUCACUGGGCCAUGCAGAGGGAUCACACUGGGCUUGUCCUCAUGGUGCUCUCUGCCCCGUUCAGCACUAGACCAAUUGGAGGGUGGAGCAGUUCCGCAAAGUUGAUGAUUUUGAGAGAUUAACAGUCCUAUUCCAAGGAUAAGAAAGCCUAAAGAGAGGUGGAGUGGCUUGCCAAAAGACACACAGCUCCCUCUGGGCAGAGCCACUGUCUCCUGAGCACCGGCUCUGUGCUCCAGGCCUCCAGAUUGACCUGUUAUUAUUAUUCUAUGAUCAAAUCGUCACUCUGAACUGUCCACAGUAUAGACAAGUGGGUUUCAAUCUUUUUCUUUUAGCAGUUUUUAUUUUUCUCUCAAACAAAAGCCCCCAGAAUUUUACCUGACAAAUAAAAUUCAGUGCUUUUACAUAUGAAUUUAUUUUUGUCAAUCAAAAUGUAUAACCUUUACUUACCACAAAAUAAGUCAGCGGGAACAAUGCCGACAUUUUGAUAGACUAAAAAUUUGAAACGCUGAAUUACAGGUGAUGAUUAUGGUUUUAGCUGAGAGCCAGCAUUCAAUUUAUUUCUGCGGCAGUUUCUUUUAGUCAGUAAUUAGAAAAUACUGCACUUCACACACAUGCAGAGGCAAAUGGUAAGAUCUUUAACAUCUUGGUAGAAGUGUCAGGAGAAGCUUUAUUCUGAGGUCUGCACAGAAAUAAGUUAUGCAGGACUUCCCUGGAAAUCCACUGGUUAAGAUUCCGUGCUUCCACUGCAGAGGGCAUAGGUUAGAUCCCUGGUUGGGUAAGUUCUGCAUGCUGCGGAGAAAAAGAAAAAAGUUGUGCAUGAUGUGAAGGAAAAAAAAGUUAUGCAUGCUGCGGCCAAAAAGAAAAAAAAAAGUUAUCCGACCAGCCCAGCCUAAUGGCUUCUUUUUGGUUUGUUUGCUUUGGUUUUCUGCCUAUGGUGAUUUUAUUAUUGCUACAAUGGCUUGUUAAAAGUUAGGGACUUCCUAGGCUUCCCUGAUAGCUCAGUGGUAAAGAAUCUGCUUGCCAGUGCAGGAGACAUUGGUUCAAUCCCUGAUCUGGGAAGAUUCCCACAUGCUGCGAAGCAACCAGGCCCGUGAGCCACAACUACUGAGCCUGUUGUCUAGAGCUUGGGAGCCACAA